AAUGGGAAGGGGGUGAUUAGAGUUAUAUAUUCAGUACCCUAGAGCACACCAGAAAAAGCAUACUGCAGAGGAAGCUGAGGCAUGACUGCUUGAGAACCUGCUAAUCAUGUGCAAGUCUCCUCUGAUAGUUCCUAGGUACAAUUGCCACAGUGACAAUGGUUGUCCCAUGUUAUUAUCUGUUCACAAGAGAAGUGUUGCCAGUGGGGAUAUUGUUUAACAGAUGUAGUAGUGUCUGUUGGACACUAAAUAUUGCUACAGAU